UAAAAGCAGUUAUUAAGUUUUUUUCUUUAAAGCUUUUGAACUUAAUAACACUUUAAGUUAACCUUGUAAACAUCAUUAAGUUUACCUUUAAAAGAUCAAAGAACAAUUAUUAAAACCUUUUUGAUCAGAUAACUAAUAAACUAACUAACUAAAUCAUCGAUGCAUAAUUAACUGCAUCAAUGAUUUUUUUUCAUUAUUUUUACCGCAAAAAAUGCAGAUUUAUCUGUUAAACUAAUGAUUUAAAAAGGCUUUUUUUUAUUAUCAAUCAUUGGUUAUUUUUUACUUGUGAUUUUAGCUUUAAUGCUUAUAAAAAAAUCCAAUGAUAAAGUUUUUUAGAAAAGUGUUGUACAAACUGAUUUGUUGUGCUAUAAUCUAUAAGGCUUAUAUA
rnacentral:misc_RNA from 1 species